GCUGGCGGCGUGCCUAAUACAUGCAAGUCGAGCGAACAGAUAAGGAGCUUGCUCCUUUGACGUUAGCGGCGGACGGGUGAGUAACACGUGGGUAACCUACCUAUAAGACUGGAAUAACUUCGGGAAACCGAAGCUAAUGCCGGAUAACAUGUUGAACCGCAUGGUUCUACAGUGAAAGAUGGCCUUGCUAUCACUUAUAGAUGGACCCGCGCCGUAUUAGCUAGUUGGUAAGGUAACGGCUUACCAAGGCGACGAUACGUAGCCGACCUGAGAGGGUGAUCGGCCACACUGGAACUGAGACACGGUCCAGACUCCUACGGGAGGCAGCAGUAGGGAAUCUUCCGCAAUGGGCGAAAGCCUGACGGAGCAACGCCGCGUGAGUGAUGAAGGUCUUCGGAUCGUAAAGCUCUGUUAUUAGGGAAGAACAAGUGCGUAAGUAACUGUGCGCACCUG
rnacentral:rRNA from 1 species